GUAGGGUGGUGUUGGUGAUGGUGGUCAUUUCUUCAAAAAACAAGGGGGAGGGGUCAAUUUUUAUCUACCUCCUCCAUGCAGUUUUCUUCUAGGAAAACAAAGGAGGGGGGACCUGUUACUACAUGAUCUCUCUCCUUUAAAUUUUUAUUGUCAAUGGUGGGGAUAUGACAUUCACUGUUUUUCAUGUUUUAUAUCAACCUAAACUCUAAAAAGCAAAACUGGUAUUUUUUUUGAGAGAAGGGUUUGUUUCUUCGGGGUCAGUGUUUAUCUUACAUCUUCAAAGCAGUUAGAAGGGGGUGGCUGGUUCUUGCAGUAAAAUAUAAGGUUUUCCUUUAAAUUUGAAAAAGUAGCCCAUUUCUUUGUAAAAGCUGCUUUCUUGUGUCAUCUAGUAUAAAAACCUGCUAAUAUAGCUUUAUUAUUAUCAUGCAGUUCUUCUAGCCUUUUAUUGUAAACGCUGGGGAUAUGAUAUUCUCCAUUUACAAAGCUAACAGCUAAAGUCAAUUUCCAGUAAAUGAAAUAAGGAAGCUGGAUAUAACUUUCACAAGUGUCCUUCAAUGUAAUUUCACUGCUGCUGCAAAACUAAAUAAAGAAAUAGAUAUGCCUGUUCCCUUUAAUUAAUGUUUUAAAAGUUUGUUUGUCCUUGGUUUACAUUUAAAAACAUUAGGGAAGUAGAAAGUGCGUGGUGAGGAAAAACAGAUUCCUUAUCUCUGGUAAAAUGUGUUAACUUGUUCCAUAAGCUGUUUUUCACGUUUCUCUAUACUUUUUCUCUCUAUUCUUUAAAACCCUUUCCCCUCAUUUUCCUCUUUCUUUAUGUAACUUUAUUUUUACUCUUUUAUUUGAUUUCUUUCUCUAUUCUUUAAUGCAAAAUACCCCUUUUUAUUUUCUUUAAAAUCCUCUUUUCUUUCUCUUUUUUUUUUCAAAAUAACCCUUAUUUUUUCUCUAAAGCACUUUUAAAGCUCUCUUUGCUCCUCUGUCUUGCUGCUUUCUAUACUUUUAUUUCAAAGUAACUUUUUUACUUUCUCUUUUUUAAAAAUACUUUUUUUCUCUAAAGUCUUCUUAAAACCCUCUCUUUAUCCUAUGCUCAUUAAACCCUCUCUCAACCUAACAAAGAAAUCUUUAUUUUCGAAAUAACCCUUUUUAUUUUUCUCUCUAUUCUUAUCUUUAUAUUUUACUCUUUUCUUUCA